rnacentral:rRNA from 1 species
AGACGAAGGUGGCAAGCGUUGUUCGGAAUCACUGGGCAUAAAGCGCGCGUAGGUGGCUUAGCAAGCGGGGAAUGAAAUCCCAUGGCUCACCCAUGGAACUGUUUCCCGAACUGCUUUGCUUGAGGACGGGAGGGGAGAGUGGAAUUCCUGGUGUAGCGGUGAAAUGCGUAGAUAUCAGGAGGAACGCCGGUGGCGAAAGCGACUCUCUGGCCCGUUCCUGACACUGAGGCGCGAAAGCUAGGGGAGCAAACAGGAUUAGAAACCCGGGUAGUCC